AUCCGGCUGAUGAGUCCCAAAUAAGUCGAAACGCACAUCCUGGAU
rnacentral:hammerhead_ribozyme from 1 species